rnacentral:misc_RNA from 1 species
GAUGAAGAACGUAGCAAAAUGCGAUACUUGGUGUGAAUUGCAGAAUCCCGUGAACCAUCGAGUUUUUGAACGCAAGUUGCGCCCGAAGCCUUUUGGCCGAGGGCACGUCUGCCUGGGCGUCACGCAUCGCGUCGCCCCCCACAAUUCUCCGUAAAGGGAACAUGUGUUUUGGGGGCGGAUAUUGGUCUCCCGUGCUCAUGGCGUGGUUGGCCGAAAUAGGAGUCCUUUCGAUGGACGCACGAACUAGUGGUGGUCGUAAAAACCCUCGUCUUUUGUUUCGUGCUGUUGCUCGUAAGGUAAACUCUUUAAAAACCCCAAUGUGUCGUCUCUUGACGACGCUUCGACCGCGACCCCAGGUCAGGCGGGACUACCCGCUGAGUUUAAGCAUAUCAAUAAGCGGAGGA